AGCUGCGGGAAGGACAGCAGGGGCCCUGGGGUUUUAGCCUCUGGCCCAGGAGUUAUGUGUCCAUAACCAAAGGGAGCACAGUCUGCACCCAGCUCUCAUCCCAUCAGAGCUGCUGAGACUCUUGCAGGUUCUUCCAGAACUGGUUUAGCUUGCCUGCAGGAUCAGAAAAGUUUGAGAAAAGCAUCUGCAAAAUGCUAAAGAGCAGAGCUUAACUCAUUGCCUGUCCCCACCCCAUCCCAGGUCACCACUUGGCUGACCCCAGGUCCCCGACCCAACAACAACCCCUCCCAAGUCCCUAACUCCCUCACUUGGACUUGAGACCCUUCACAACCCAGCAGCGCUCCACCUCCAACUUGACAUCAUGCUUUCUGGAAACUUCCCCGUAUGUCCCACUUUCCCACACUUGGUGCCCUGGAGCACCUUCCGGCCUCUACAUGCUGUACGUUCCCCUGUGAGCACCCUCCUCUCGGCCUCUGGCCAACACAGUCCCACCCAUCUGUGGGUAACAAGGGGGUGUGGGUGUUCUUUUCAGCCUUGCUAAACUGUCUGAAUCAAGGAUCACAAACUACAGCCUGCAGGCCAAAUCCAGCCCACAGCCUGUGUUUGUAAAUAAAGCUUUGUUGGAACAAAGCCACACCCCUUAAUCUACAGAUGAUCUGUGGCUACUUUCACACCACAACAGAGUACCAUGGUUCUGACAGAGACUGGGGUACCCUGUCUAAAUGACUUCUGACCUGGACAUUUACUGAAAAUCCUCCCAAUCAUUCUGUUGACAAGAAUGAUGUAUUACUUUUUGCAAUAAGAAACAAGUAACCUUUGCAGAAUUCCACCCAUCUUUCAAGGCUGGUCCCAGAAGUUCCCUUUG
rnacentral:lncRNA from 10 species